UAGAAACCCCAAGGGACUCUUGACUCCUCGGCAUCCGCGCCAAUCAGCCUCGAGAUCCACGUAGAAGCUUCCAGAAGGUUCCAAGCCAAAACCUCCGUCAGAUGUCCGCUUUGGAGUUUGGGUGAUUGCAAAGCGAAAUCGCGGAGAAAAUCUUUGUGCCGUGACAAUCUCCCCCACCUAUUGCGCAGACGCCCUCGUCGCGCGCUGGUGUUGGAAGUCAUCGAUGAGCUUUUGAUACUUCCAGAGAGUGUCGGCCUUCUCCCAGCUUGCCUCGCCAUGCGGGAGAUUCUUCCACUUGACAAGGUACUCGACGCUCCUUGGGACUCCGCGACGCCGAAUGGUGCGAGUGUCCAGCAAGGCUUCGACCUCCUUGUCGAUUGCAGUGGUCAUAGUGGCGGGAGCGCGCUGCGACACGCCCCGGCUCGGGUCCUCAGCGUCUUCAUGGUAGGGCCGCAGGCAACUAGCAUGGAAAACAGGAUGUAUCUUCAGGUUGGCGGGGAGUUUCAGUUUGUAGGCUGCCUUGCCCGCUCGUUUGAUGACAGUGAAAGGCCCCUCGUACUUUCGCAAAAGCCCACGGUGUACUUUGCGAAAAGCCUUGAAUUGUUGAGGUUGCAGCUUGAUCAACACUCGAUCUCCCUCGGCAAACUCCAAGGGUCGUCGCUUUGCAUCGGCCCACUUUUUCAUUCGGCGGGCCGCCUUCUCGAGAUAGGCUCUCGCAAUGUCCCCCUUCUCCUGCAAAUGAGAAGUGAAUUGGAGAGCCAUUGGGCUGCGGCCCUGCUCGCCCGCAGCAGUAGAAUGCGGAGUGAGAGGUUGCCUCCCCGUUGCAAGCUCGAACGGGCUAAGGUUGGUGGACUCGCUCCGCCGCAAAUUGUAGGAAAACUGGGCAACAUCCAGAUGAUGCACCCAAUCCUUCUGGUUGGCACUGACAUAGUGCCGCAGGUACUCCUCCAGUAGUCCGUUCACCCGCUCCGUCUGGCCGUCCGUCUGCGGAUGGAAACUGGUGGAAAAGAGCAACUCCGACCCCAAGAUCCGGAACACCUCUGUCCAGAACUUGCCCGUAAACCUAGGGUCUCGGUCGCUCACAAUGCUUUCGGGGACGCCCCAAAGCUUCACCACAUUGCUGACGAAGAGCCGCGCCGCUUCUUCCGCCGUGCAAUCCGCUGGUGCCGCNUCCAGAAGGUUCCAAGCCAAAACCUCCGUCAGAUGUCCGCUUUGGAGUUUGGGUGAUUGCAAAGCGAAAUCGCGGAGAAAAUCUUUGUGCCGUGACAAGUUGGAGUCCUGUGACAGUGGAGAAGAGCCAUGAACACAACUGUAUAAGCAAGUUGGUAUGUUCUUGUGAAAGUCAUAGAGGCCCCUACCAACGCCCAAAGAGCACCGAACUAUGCCUUUUGUUUAUUUUAUGCAAGAGAAUAAUUUGCUGCAUGUUUUCGACCUGGUCCUAGUUCUCAGCGUUGCGUUUUGCCGCGUUGAUUGCGUUCAUGAAAGUGACGGAAAGCGCAUGCGAGGUUGCUUUCGCAGCUGCGGCCGAACUGCAGCACCGGACCUGCUGUUGUGCUCUCCUUUCUGCUUGACGAAGUAGCGCACCAUUUGUAGUCGCAGUUCUCGGCGCUGAGAUGGAUGUCAGUAACAACCAUUAUCUGGAUUUCCUUCUCCUUCUUCUACCUCCCCGAAAACCUCUAAUCUCGACAUCUCUGAUCGUCUUUUGUUCUCUAAUAGUUUAAACUUUUGAAGAACAACAAUUACUUCAUAAAACUCUAAUCUUCGCCUCCCUCGCCCUCCCCCUUAAAUUUUUAAAGGAUUAUUUCAUUUCAUAUUAUUUAACAUAUCUAAAUUUAUCCUGAAAGGGAGGAGGUAUUUUAGUAAUUUCAAUGCAGAAUUAUUAUUAUUCUUUUUAAAUGCAGAAUUAUUUUAGUAAUUUCAAUGCAGAAUUAUUGUUGUGGUUGAAUUAAAGUCUGAGCCCAUAUAGAAGCCCAAUUGUUGGAGACCUGCCGAGGCCUCUAAUGACUCACUUUUCCUCUCUUUGGUACCAAAUUCAUAUCGAAUUAAAUAUUAGAUUUUUAGUUUUUUCAAACUCAAAAUGGAUUUUCGGUUUUUUUUGGGAAAAAAAGAAGAAGAGAGAGAAUUAGGAGACUCUAAAAUUAUUAAUUAACAUAGAGACACACACCACCACAGGGCAAAAGCAUCAUCGAUCUUUCACUCUUCAUCUCGAACAGAACAUACAUACUACUAGUUCAUAGUACAAAUCUCUCUUUGCCCUCGCUGACUAGCUUUUCAUAUUAUUUUGACUUGCUCCGGUUCUCACUUGAAGCCAAAGGGAUGAUCAAAGUUCGGCAUUGCCUGCAUCGCCGCCGGAAAGAGCUGUGAGGAGCUGCUCCCGCCGCUCUCGUGAUCGGGGCCUCCGAACACUCCCCGUGCCGCGUAGUACCCUCCCACGGUGCCGUUCCCGUAGGCGUCGUGCCCGAGAUACUGAUGCAUCUGAUACUGCUGCACGGCGGGCACCGCAUUCGCAU
rnacentral:lncRNA from 1 species